GCGCAGCAGUCGCGAAACUCUGCAAUGCGCGAAAGCGCGACAGGGUUACCCCGAGUGUCGUCCGCUGAGGACGACUUUUCCCCAGUGUAGAUAGCUGGGGGAAUAAGGAGAGGGCAAGUCUGGUGUCAGCCGCCGCGGUAAUACCAGCUCUCCGAGUGGUGGGGACGCUUAGUUGGGCCUAAAGCAUCCGUAGCCGGUCUAACAAGUCCCUUGUUAAAUCCAGCGAUUCAAUCGCUGGACUGC
rnacentral:rRNA from 1 species